rnacentral:lncRNA from 1 species
UCUGCCGUAACAUUAGAGUGGACCAUGUCAAAUAUUUUGAACUAUCCAGAGGUAUUGAAAAAGGUAAGAGAUGAAGUGGAUACUCAUGUAGGACAAGAUCGUUUGGUUGAUGAAUCAGACCUUCCGAAACUAACUUACCUAAGAAAUGUUAUCUACGAGACCCUUCGAUUGUAUACUCCUGCUCCAUUGUUAUUACCACACUCAACUGCAGAUGAGUGCAUUAUGGGAGGAUACAAAGUUCCGCGCGACACCAUAGUAUUGAUCAAUGCUUGGGCCAUUCAUAGAGACCCUGAAACAUGGAGUGAAGCCACAACUUUCAAGCCGGAGAGGUUCGACAAAAAAGGAGAGUUGGAGAAGAUGAUUGCAUUUGGAAUGGGAAGAAGGGCAUGUCCAGGAGAAGGUUUAGCUCUUCGAGCAAUUAGCAUGACAUUGGCAUUAUUGGUUCAAUGCUUUGAUUGGAAACGUAUAAACGAUGAAAAAAUUGAUAUGUCAGAACGAGAUGGGUUCAC